AUAAUUAAAAACAAGCUAAAAAAAGAAGUGUUCGAGGAUAUAACAUCGUUUUUCCUGAAAAGGUCUGCCGUCAUUAAUUGGUACAUAAUAGUUCCAAUUAAUUUUAAUGAUAAUAUGUAUAUUAUAUUAUCUAAUAGAUAAUUAUGUGUAAUUACUAAUUUAACAUUAAUUAGCAAUUGAUAAGUGUGAGGUGAGUGAGCUGUUGAGCGGACUUUGCAACAAUUGUCACCUACUGAAGCAGUGGUUAUCAAACUUCAUACAGUCUGAGCGUACUUACAAUACUAACGAAAUACACUUUAUACAAAACAGGAUUCAAAAUCUUGUCCUAUUAAUGGAAUAGUUCUGUUGGAAAACAGGCUAUUAUUAAGUCUUCCCUUCAAUUAUUUAAGUGAAUAUUCAACUUAAUUCUUGAGCCGCCUUCUAGAAUGAUGAUGGGCAAUCCUUUACCGCCGAAGGUUUCCCCAUCUAUCAAGAAAAAAGAAAAAAAUGAUACAAUACAAAGACCUCUCUUCAUUGAUGCAGAUGAGAUUGAUCAAAUAUUAAACUCCGUGGCUAUUGAAUGGAAGGGCUGGCGCUCAUCGAAUGAGUGUAUAUGUAAUGCUAAGCUCCUAGGAAAUGUUAAAAGGCAUUGUAGAUGCUGUGGUAUAGCUUUUUGUAUUCGAUGUAUUGCAUUUAAAGCAACGCUUCCAGGUCAUUUUUCGGGAAAGGCAACUCCUGUCUGUAAUCUUUGUUAUAAAGGACUUAAAAAUGGGAACUCAAAUAAUUCUAUUAAGAAGACAUGAUUUUUAUUGGUUCAUUGUGCUUUUGCUAUAAGUGUUGCCAACUGGGUUUUGCCACGACCUUUAUCGAAAAAUGUCCAUGUAUUAUAUUAUUUUAACUUUUUUCUUCUUCUCAAGUAUCUAAUGGAAUACGCCCUCCUCAAUUAGGUCUACGAAUGUUAUAAAUACAUAUUUUAGAUAUUAAUGAGUAUUUUAUUUACUUUAUAAAAAUAUAUUUCAGUUAUGCAAUGCAUAAUCAUUCAUACACUUGGUUUUAGUUGCAAUAUUUUCAGUCUAAAGUCGCUAUAAAAUUUAGAAAACGCUGCAUGGAAAGAACAUUUCAAAAGUUACUAUUAGUAUUUGUAAUGUAUAUAUAUUAUUUUCAACCAUAUUUGUAUUUAUGUUCCUUGCCAUUAAAAGUAAGUUAUCAAGUCAAUAUUCUUCAAUAUCAAUUAAAAAUAUUUUCUGGUUAUUUGAAGAUCUCAAAUCCGCUCUUCCUCCGUGACUCCGCAAUAACAACAAGGGAUUAAGUUGGCUUUUAUUCUCUCAUGUACUUAUUGAUUAGUUUUUGGUUUACUCUCGCUCUCAGGUCAAGACUCAGUACAUUAGAUUAUGUAGUAAAGUCAAGAUCACUCUAAUUGCAAUGACGUAUUUGUGUGGUACACUCUCUGUUCAAGUAGCUGCUCGUUUCUUUCCGUUCAAUGAAAACAAAUUAAAUAAGAGUUUUCAAGAAGCAAUUGAAGUCCUUGAAGAGAACCAAA
rnacentral:lncRNA from 1 species